rnacentral:rRNA from 1 species
GACGAACGCUGGCGGCGUGCCUAAUACAUGCAAGUAGAACGCUGAAGAGAGGAGCUUGCUCUUCUUGGAUGAGUUGCGAACGGGUGAGUAACGCGUAGGUAACCUGCCUUGUGGCGGGGGAUAACUAUUGGAAACGAUAGCUAAUACCGCAUAACAAUGGAUGACACAUGUCAUUUAUUUGAAAGGGGCAAUUGCUCCACUACAAGAUGGACCUGCGUUGUAUUAGCUAGUAGGUGAGGUAAUGGCUCACCUAGGCGACGAUACAUAGCCGACCUGAGAGGGUGAUCGGCCACACUGGGACUGAGACACGGCCCAGACUCCUACGGGAGGCAGCAGUAGGGAAUCUUCGGCAAUGGGGGCAACCCUGACCGAGCAACGCCGCGUGAGUGAAGAAGGUUUUCGGAUCGUAAAGCUCUGUUGUAAGUCAAGAACGGGUGUGAGAGUGGAAAGUUCACACUGUGACGGUAGCUUACCAGAAAGGGACGGCUAACUACGUG